rnacentral:lncRNA from 10 species
CGCAUACAUGUGUCGGAAACAAAAGUGGCACCGACAGUUCUCUCAAAGGAGCCGUGUUCUGCGCAGACACCCGCAGCCCCUGUCCAACAUACAGCCAGGGAACGUUGAAACAUUUUGCGAUAGCUUGAAUUCAAACCAUCGCACUCACAGCACCGCUACAUGUCUCCAGCCUCACCUGGGGAGUGAGCAAAUGCCAGACACCCUCCUACGGAGCUAUUCUCUGAACCCUCCACACAGGCCCGGCUGGGCUGCUCCGCUCCGGGCCGAGAGAGUGAUUGAUAAGCUGCCGCUGUGUGAUUGCAGCCUUUGAAGCAAGAGGCAGCAGAGACCAGACUUGGCCUGAAUUAUUUCUUGCGUGAGAUUCAAGGACUCUUAUUGGGGUCUGGAUCAGGAACCCUUUCUGGUAACAGAUGUGCCUGGGGGAGAAGGGGCCAGGAGGAAGGUGAUGCAGAGGCCACCUCCACUAACCCUCAACAGCGUACACCACCUCUGCCACUCCCACUUCACAGGCGAGAAAACCAAGGCUUAGUGCGGUGGGGCCAAGUGCUCAGCGGACACAGCUGGAGAGCGGCGGGCCAGGAUUCCGCAUAAAAAAAGCAGCCCUCUCAGAUCCUGGGAGGACAAACAGGAGAGCUCAUUCCCUAUUCUCCAGCUUCCAUCUCAAAGUCUCCAGGAACCCCCAGCAACCAAAAUAUUCUUGUAAGUGAAUAAGGAAAAGCAAAGCCAACAGGUGAUUCUCGAUGCUCCCGUAGGCCCCAGGGAGUGGAGAAGCACCACGCUCCAAGUGCCUGGACAGAGAGGGAUCUGCCAACGGGAGCUCGGUCAGAAAGAGGAGGAGGGGGAGCCAGGGCAGGGGGCAAAGAAAGAGAGUUCAGUGAGGGGGCAGCACGUGCCAAGGCCCCAAGGAGUGUCCCGGGCAUGGAAUGUUCCGGCAACCAAGAGAAGGCCGUGUGGGUUUGAGUGCAGACAAGGGGAAAGCGGCUCAGCACAGCCAGGGAAAGCCAGCCAGAGUGAGGGACAACGGCCCAGGAAUGGCUGGGGAGCUGCGGCUCUGUCUGGAAAGCAGUGGGUGGGCGUCACUGGCACCUGCUGCCAUCUAUGGAUUCACCCAAGCCAAGGAUGAAGAUGGGGAACCAGCAGGCUCAGGACACAACAUGGGCCCAUCCCUCGUUGACUCCCAUUAGCAGACAGCGACCCGUGCAUGAGCUGCUCUGGGGGACGGCAGCUUCUGGCUCAGGGGCCAGCCUGCGUGUCUCUGCCAUGGCGGGUCAUAACCUCAUCAGCCUCCUUCCUGAAACCCGAAUGCCACACGCCUGCUGAGUUUCUCAGGAUCUCACAAAUCCUACCCCAGUCCCCAACAUCCUGGCCAGCCUGACAGUUACUUCCUGGAGCAUCUUCCAGAGUUCCGUCGGGUUUGCUGACCCUGGUUGAGUGAUGGCAUUUUCUAGCUCUUUCUGUCUGUACCCCAGAAUGUAGCUUGUCUAAGCCCAGUGACUUAAGCCCAAUCUAUUCAUUUCACCACUGUCCCCUGGCAGGAGGAAUUCCUCUGAAAAGACCCCAGGAGCCUGGCGAGGGGUACGCUGGGGAGGCAGCUGGUGACAAGGCCUGGGCAGAAAGCCUGCUUUUCACUAAGAAUUCUUUGAACAUUUUGAAUUUUGUACUAUUUGCAGAUACUGCCUAUUCAAAAAUAAGUAAUUAAUUGAAACAAUGAGAUCAUUCUCUUUGAUACAAAAAGGCAAAACCCUAACCGGAGUCCUGUCGUUCUGCUGUUAUCUCAUCCCGGGCUGGAAUCUGGUCACCCCAAACUCCCCACGCCCCAGCCUCAGCGUCUCCAUCUGUAAACCAAGGCCCAGGCCCUCGGACCUUGGUGGGGGGGCUCCACUUUGUGAGUCUGACUUGUCAUAGCCUGAAGCUGUGGCCUGGGCCCCUGUCUCCGUCCCACUCGCAGGCUGGUUAAAUCCCGGGAGUCAAAACCUCCAGGAGCAGGUUCCGUGGUCUGAGAGUCCAGGACAGCUUGUCACUCAGCAAGACAGCCUGGCGGCGGUGGGGGGGGGGGGGGCGCCAACCAGGGCGACCGAGGACACCAAGGUGGGGCCUGUGGGUGAGGUGCCCCCAGGAGUCUCAGUGGAAGCUCCAGGAAGGUCACAAGAGAUCCCUCCUCCCAGGUGGCCCCUAAAGAGGCCAGCACACAGUCCAUGGAGGAAGAGGCACAGAAUCAAUGAAUCUGGCUUUCAAGGAGCGAAUAAACUUAGGCUUGUUGGUGUCUCAAAGGCAUCUGGUACCUGAAUUGUUCUUGGGGUUCCUACUGGAGGCGCCAGCCCUUAGAGACUGAGCAGCCAGGGACAACACUCCCGGGCGGCUGGCAGUGCCACCCGUUUCCUGCCAACCCAGGACCCGUGGAGACCAGGAUCAGCCUCUAGCAUCCCUGGGGCAGCAGGAGAGACCCUUGUCCCUCCUCCACCCACACACUGGGGAUCCCCAUGCCUCCCUCAUAGCUUGUGAGGAGCCAGGGGUCCGGGGUCAAAGUCAGAUGCCACGAGCUGGAGAGGAAGCGUCGGCAGACGUCCCCUGGGUGGGGUCCUGGGGUCUGCAGGUCACGUGGAGAAGGCACAGCAAGAACAAGACCUAGGCCAGACGGCAGCGUCAGCGCACGCUCCACAGCGGGCUUCCCGCAGCUCUGCACAGCACGGCGAAUUUCCACCUAAGUGUGUCCACGGAGCCUCCACCAGAUCAAAGCUGGAGACAGCCCCAGCUUCCCAGACAGCCUGACGACCCUCAAAACUGCAUUUAAAAACCACUGUUUCGGUGAGUGGGUGAAUCAUUCACAUGGUUCAAAAUUCAAAAGGAACAGAAUGAUGUCGCCUGGAAAUGCGUGUCCUGCCCCAUCCCAGGGACUCAGGGUCCUGCACCUGAAACGGCCUUUGCAGAAGUCCUGUCAGUGAGACAAUUAGAACACCAACCUAAGCUAACCCAGCCCCCAUCCUGCCCUUCCCUUAAUUAUUCCUGGGCUAUUGGGCCAAGCUAACUUUGGAAGACAUUUAGGCUACAGUUUAAAUGAUUGAUAAUAGGCCUUGCCCCAAACCUGCUUUUGUAAAGCUAAUGGGAGGCCCCCAGGCUUCCAGGAGGAGGGAACCAGAGACCUUAUAAGGCGCAGACACAAAGGAUGGUCGGCCAUUAUCCCGGAGGUUACAAAUAUGCAACUUCCCCCAUUACUCCUGCAAGUAACACCACCGCUGUAGAUGGAAGUAUCUUCUGAGAGAUCUUUCCAGGUUUUUUGCAUGUCUGACGCCCACAGCUCCACUCAGACCCCAUGGCUCCACCUGGACCUACAGCCCCGCUCCUGUGGCCCCACCAGAAGCAAUUCGGCUGCAGGAGGAAGGCUUCCACCCCUGUGAUUUCAUCUCCACCCCAACCAAUCAGCAGCAAACAUCUGUUACCUGGCCACCCCUACCUAAACCCCUAAUCUAAUCCGGUUGCGGUGACUCACGCCUGUAAUCUCAGCACUUUGGGAGGCCGAGGCGGGCGGAUCACAAGGUCAAGAGAUCAAGACUAUCCUGGUCAACAAGGUGAAACCCCAUCUCUACUAAAAAUACAAAAAUUAGCCAGGCGUGGUGGCGGGUGCCUGUAGUCUCAGUAACUCGGGAGGCUGAGGCAGGAGAAUCGCUUGAACCUGGGAGGUGGAGGUUGAGGUGAGCCGAGAUCGCGCCACCGCACUCCAGCCUGGGUGACACAGUGAGAUCCGUCUCAAAAAAAAUAAAGAAAUAAAUAAUAAAAAAUUGUCACAAGGCUGGCCAUGCCACAAGGGAGAUGGAAUUAUUACUCAAAUCAACCUCCCUGAAGGCAUGGAGGUUAGGGGAUUUUCAAAAACUAAAUUUCUCCCAAAGCUAGCUUGGCGCACGCCCAGGAAUGAAGGAAGCCAGCCAGCCUGCCUGUGAGCGUGGAACUCAGCCAGUCCCGGAAAGCCCUCCCGUGUGUUCUGGAAACAGCUCACUGCAAACAGCCCCCUUCGCACAGGACUGAGAUGAGACUCGCGGCUGCCGGGUCCGCCUAGGAGAAGGCCAGAUCACGGCCUCAUCAGCGAUUCCCUGAGCUGUUUUGUUCCCACAGAAGCAGCAGAACAAAAUGCUUGUUUAAAAAAACAACAAAAAAAGCUUGUUCAGCUUCUCUGCCUCCCCCAAACCCUGAACUGGGAGACCCCCCCCAGCCUAGUUCCCCCUGGGUCAGCCUGUAACCCCACCUUAGCCCCUGAGACUGGGCUGGCCAGGGGGAACCUGCUGUAUCUGCUGCCCCUCAGGCCCCCUCACGCCACUCCCCCACCGAUUCUUUCCAGCCCUGCUCCCUCUCUCCGUCAAAGAAAACCCCUUUCCCUGGCUCUGGAGGCCUUGUAGGCCUUGUAAGUUGGAGUGGUACGUACCCCUACUGUGAGGCGCUCCCCCAAGCCCUGCAAUAAUCCUUUUGGAAUAAAGUUCCCCUUACUAAAUCCGGAUUUGUUUUUUAUUUGACAAUUUCUUCUCUGUGGAAUUCUCGGCUCAACUCAAGGGACGGAGCCGAGCUUAGAAAUAAAACAGGAGCAGCGUCAACAGAAGAUGUCAGGAGUGGGGGCCUCGUUUCUGCGUGGUGAAUUCUGAGACCAGAGCACACCGUCCCAAGAGGGCAGUGGACGCUGGGGAAAGUGUCACGGCCGCUGAAGGAGAG